GCAGGCAGUUGGGACUCUAGUUCCAUUUUGGGCUGUGCAGACCCAAAAGUUUGCAAACAGACCUUUUCCUUGAACGCUGGGAAAUUUAGAAUAGCAGGGGACACAGAAUGCUGCAACACAGAUCUCUGCAACAACCAGACACAGCAUGCACUGAAUACAAACAACACCGCAAAUGGAAAUAUAUGUUUUACUUGUGAAGGGAGCAACUGUACACAUAUUAUGAAUUGUGUAGGGAAUGAAGAUCGCUGUCUCAAAACAACAAUCUCAGGUGCUCAUGAUGGUGAGAGCGUCGUGAAAGGAUGUGUAAGUAGGAACCUUUGUGUCAGAAAUACUUUAUCAGUUCUGAAGAACACAGUUCGGGAGGGACUGUACUGCUGUGAAGGCAAGCUGUGCAACAAUGCCAAGUUUACCUGUCAGAGUGCCACCCUGCUGCUGGGGUCUAUCAUCAUCCUGAAACUCUUCUUCUGACACUUCUGAAAUAAUACUGUCCAAAAUAAUAACUGUCAUGCUUUUAUAAAUCUCUCCAUGGGGUGUAAUUGAUCUUUAAUGGUAUCUUCUUUUUUACACGGGGAGCUUUAAACAACUUUAACUGGACAUGAUUAAUCCUGGACAUGGUUUUCUAGGUCUCUUUAAGACACCAACGCUUAAAUUUGCUUUUCACAAUGUCAAAAAAUGUCAUUAACAUCCCUCAAAUUUCUGAUUCUGUCCCUAC